rnacentral:rRNA from 1 species
UACAGAGGUCUCAAGCGUUGUUCGGAUUCAUUGGGCGUAAAGGGUGCGUAGGCGGCUCGGUAAGUCGGGUGUGAAAUCUUGGAGCUUAACUCCGAAACUGCAUUCGAUACUGCCGUGCUUGAGGACUGGAGAGGAGACUGGAAUUUACGGUGUAGCGGUGAAAUGCGUAGAUAUCGUAAGGAAGACCAGUGGCGAAGGCGGGUCUCUGGACAGUUCCUGACGCUGAGGCACGAAGGUCAGGGGAGCAAACGGG